rnacentral:other from 1 species
UAUACCCUGGAGGGCGCGUGACGGCUGUCGUCGCUGGCCUCACAAGCAUUGAAGAAGGGAUCUGCCGAUGGUUCGGUGUGCAGGCCCGGCAAAAGACCGGGAAGCCUGAAGGACCAUCAAAUUUUCCCACCGUAGGCGUAUCAGGUCCUGCGGGAGGAUAGCCGCACGGCUCAUCCGGGGUGUUU